UACGUAUGGGGCAAGCGUUGUUCGGAAUUAUUGGGCGUAAAGGGCGUCUAGGCGGGGGAUUAAGUUAGAUGUGAAAGCUAUGGGCUCAACCCAUAAACUGCAUCUAAGACUGGUUCUCUUGAGUUCGGGAGAGGAGAGCGGAAUUCCAGGUGUAGCGGUGAAAUGCGUAGAUAUCUGGAAGAACACCAGUGGCGAAGGCGGCUCUCUGGCCUAGAACUGACGCUGAAGCGCGAAAGCGUGGGGAGCGAACAGG
rnacentral:rRNA from 1 species